rnacentral:rRNA from 1 species
GACGAACGCUGGCGGCGUGCCUAAUACAUGCAAGUCGAACGCAGUGGGGACGGGUGAGUAACACGUGGGUAACCUCCCAUCAGAGGGGAUAACACUUGGAAACAGGUGCUAAACCGAUACUGAUGGAUCGUCCCGCGGUGCAUUAGCUUGGUGGUGAGGUAACGUGCCACCAAGGCCACGAUGCAUAGCGUACCUGAGAGGUUGAUCGGCUACACUGGGACUAGGACACGGCCCAGUAUCCUACGUGAGGCAGCAGUAGGGAAUCUGCGGCAAUGGACGAAAGUCUGACCGAGCAACGCCGCGUGAGUGAAGAAGGUUUUCGGAUCGUAAAACUCUGUUGUUAGAGAAGCGGUAUCUAACCAGAAAGCCACGGCUAACUACGUGCCAGCAGCCGCGGUAAUAC